GACGAACGCUGGCGGCGUGCUUAACACAUGCAAGUCGAACGGUAAGGCCCUUUCGGGGGUACACGAGUGGCGAACGGGUGAGUAACACGUGAGUAACCUGCCCACUUCUUCGGGAUAACGCUAGGAAACUGGUGCUAAUACCGGAUAUGAGCUCCUGCCGCAUGGUGGGGGUUGGAAAGUGUUUGUGGUGGUGGAUGGACUCGCGGCCUAUCAGCUUGUUGGUGAGGUAGUGGCUCACCAAGGCGGUGACGGGUAGCCGGCCUGAGAGGGUGACCGGCCACAUUGGGACUGAGAUACGGCCCAGACUCCUACGGGAGGCAGCAGUGGGGAAUAUUGCACAAUGGGCGGAAGCCUGAUGCAGCAACGCCGCGUGCGGGAUGACGGCCUUCGGGUUGUAAACCGCUUUCACCAGGGGCGAAGGCAUCCUUUUGGGGUGUGACGUACCUGAGAAGAGC
rnacentral:rRNA from 1 species